AGGAGGAUAUAAUUGAUGUUUUACUUCAAAUAAGAAAAGAUCGUGGAUUUAAAGUUGACCUGACUUUGGAUAACAUCAAAGCAGUGCUCAUGGUGGAUAAUUUUAUAAAUAGUUAUAUGUAGACUCGUGCUUAGGCGCAGACUCAAAAUUUUGUGCAGAUGCCCAAUUUUACAGUGUUGUAAAACGUUUUAUAAUGCUGUAAAGUGCUCUUUGACGUCUCCGCCUGAGCAUGAUUAAUUUAAUAUAAUUUUAUUCGCUUUAACUAAUUUAAUAUGUAUAUUGUUUGCUUUGCAGAACGUAUUCGUUGCUGGAACAGACACAAGUGCAGCAACUGUGGUUUGGGCCAUGACCUACCUAACGAAGAAUCCUAGAGCAAUGAAAAAAGUUCAACUGGAAAUUAGAUCGUUGAUUGGGGGCAACAAAGGCUUUGUAAAUGAAGAUGAUGUUCAAGAACUACAUUAUCUUAAAGCCGUAGUGAAGGAGACAAUGAGAUUGCAACCUACAGUGCCGUUACUACUUCCAAGAGAAGCAAUUCAAAAGUGCAUAGUAGAAGGGUAUGAAAUACCAGCUAAAACACGUGUUUUUGUAAAUGCAUGGGCGAUAGGGAGAGAUCCUGAAGCUUGGCAGAAUCCUGAGGAAUUUUAUCCGGAGAGAUUUGUUGAUAGUUGUAUUGACUUUAAAGGGCAAAACUUUGAGUUAAUACCGUUUGGUGCUGGCAGAAGAAUUUGUCCUGGGUUGAAUAUGGGAAUUGUAACUGUGGAGCUUGCACUUGCUAAUCUUCUUUACAAAUUUGAUUGGGAAAUGCCGCCUGGAUUGAAGAGCCAUGACUUUGAUGUUCUGCCCGGACUUGCCAUGCAUAAGAAGAACGUUCUUUCUCUUCGGGCUAAGUAUCAUGUUGAGUAGGUAAAUUAAGGCACCUCCAUCAAUAAGAAGGUAAAUUAAGGCACCUCCAUUAAUAAGGGUUUGAUCUAGCUAAAGGAAAUAUAUGUUAUGCGUCCUCAAUUGUGCUUCUCAAUGUUUUCUUUCUUUCUUCUUAUGUAUAAUGGAUGUUUACGCGAAUGGUUUUUAGUAAGUAAUUUUCUUUUAGUUCAAAAUUUUGGGAGGUAAGGGCUAGAAGAUAAUAGGGACUCUGCCCACUCUCUUAUACCUUUAAAAAAAUGAUAUGAAUGUGAGUAUCAAUUUAUCACAUUUAUUUUGUCUUACAUUUUUCUCUCUCCAAUUUCAAAUUAUAAAUGUAUAUAUAAAUACACGAAACGACCAAUCAAUAUUAUUUACUUGAUAUAACUAAUAAGUAAAUUCAUGGCUUUUUCUAUCACCCCUUUUUUUGUUAGGAGUAUCAGUAAAAUCAGCUCUGUAAUGCUCUACAUCUUUACCGUGAAAGCUGCAUUUUUAUGGAAUCAGCUUACAGUUAUGUACUAACCAAAAAAAAAGAAAAAGAAUAUUACAUCAAUUCUUCAUUGAGAUUUGAGACAUUUUCUUCCUCCAGAAAGUAUACAAGUUAAAAAAACUACACAUCAUUGUGAUUUCAUAACAGCAUCAUCCAUCACUUUCCUAUGAGCUUUUUAUGAGGCCGGAGGCUAAAGCACAAUCAGUUGAGCUUUUAUUGCAUUUCCCACAGCAAGACUGUGGCAAAUCAGUUGACUUUUGACGUUAAAUGGUGGUUUCGGCUUGCAGUCACUUGUGUUUGUUCAAUUUCAAUAAAGGAAAUUUCAUUUUUGUUAAAAUCCAUGAAUAUUAAUUACUACCUUGUUCGCUGUUCAGUAAAACUAAAACAACACCAAAACUUAAAUAUUUUCGCUAUAUCACAAACUUAAAUAUUUUUUUUUUUUCCCCCUAUACAUCCCUAGUAAGGUUGACAGAAAAAAACCAAAUUUCAAUCGGUAUUGGGAUCCCCUCCCGAAUGAUAGGGGAUUUGGCACUAAUUUUUAAAAUCGAUUCGAUACUAAUUUUAACAAACACUUGCUUUAAACCAACUUAUUCUUCUACCACAUAAUUUACUUAACUUUCAUUACAUGAAAAAUAGUCAUUUUUUUUACCUAACUUGUUCGACAAUAGUUAAAUAUGUUGGUGAGAGGGCAGUUUUCAAUUGUAAAAAUCAAGACAUCGAGAAAAACUAAAAUGGCUAUUUGGUUUUUCUAAUGAAAAACUAAAACAACUAUAUGGUUUAGCGUGAAAUUUUAGCUUCAUUGGUAUUUAUGACGAUUGUAACUAACCAUUAAAAAUGCAUAAUUAUUUUCUACCUGUAGUGAUUUAGGUGCUGUAGAAUUCGAUUAGCAAUCUAAGCACUGCCCAAGAUCACAAACCAGAUCCACUAGAUGCUAAGAACCCAAACAAUCAAGCUUUAAGUUUCAACAAAACCUUUAACGAAAAUGGCUUAAUCAGAACACACUCAGAACAAGAAUUAGAAACCAAUCACACCCAAAAGAAAGAGAAAUAUUUACGUGGUUCGAUUGUGCAAAGAAGCACAAUCUGCAUCCACGGGAGAAGCCCACCCACAGAGCAAGCUUUAUUGAUGAUUCAAGUAAUCUUUACAGAGCAAUACAAGAGCUAACUACUAGGAUCAAGAAGAAGAUUUCUCUCUAUCUUAACUCUCUCUAUCACGCUCUCAGAUCAUCCAUGAAACUGCUUCUUUAACCAGCUUAUAUAGCAGCUGAUAAAGAACCCAGAAGCUGCAGAUUUCCGCCACCUGGACUAACAGCUUCUAACUGAUUUGAUUCUCCACCCCCCGUGCACUUCACAUGUUUCACUUAAGCCUUUUGCCGAAACGUCUCCAGCUCCUGCCGUUUUGAACUGAAGUGAAUCACAUGCCAUGCUCGUGACUCCUGAGUAUAUUAAACAUAUUCCAAACGCUGUCGUUUAACAUGCUCAAGUUUUGGAUUCAGCAUUUUAGUCCACACUACCGUUUCAAAAACAUAGUCGAAAAUAAAAUAAUAUUUUCAAUUAUUGUAAUUUUUAAUCAAAAAUAGAAAAAUAUUCUUAAAUGUAACUAGGAGUUGGUUGAAAAAACCAUUAAAAAGAUAUAAAAUUUUAACAGACAACAUGGGCACCAAUAAUGCUUUUCACUACUAUAACUUGCAAGGUUGGUCAAAGCAAAAGCUGUAAGGGUAAGUAAAUAUAAUAUAAAAUUAUAUAUCAUCUAAAAGAAAAGUAAUUGUAAGUUUUUUUUCUUAGUUUACUAUUUUUUUUUAUCAAACAUGAACUAGAUAAUUAAAUAAAUAAUUAAUUAAUUAAUGUACUUUUUUUUAUAGAAUUAAUUAAUGUACUUAAUUGAAAAUAAAAUUAACUUCUACGAUGCAAAUAGAAUUUGAGCCCUUAACUGAAAAGAUAAAAUAUGAAAGUGCCUACCACUUGAGCAAGAAAUAAUUUUCAGUAAAUUAUAAAUUAAAUAAUUAUGAAAGGAUUGAUUUUUUCUAAAGGUUUUACUAGGUGCAAUGAUUAGUAUUAAAAAUUGUUUAAUUAUCAAGCGAUAAUAUGUUAUUUUAUGCUUAUGUUAUAAUUUAUAUUUGUGUUUAUGUAAUAUAUUAUGAAUUAUUAAUUAUGUUUUAAAUAUAUUUAAUUUUGUGUAUUUUUAUGUGUUUAUUAGGAAAAUUAUUAAUUUCACGUACUUCGAGGCUCCAAACAGAUAAACGGAGGUCAAAUUUGGAUUCCGGAGGUCCGAAAACCUUAAGAUCCGUGAAGAUCGGCUUAAAAUUGGGCUUGUGUAAAAAAAGUUGACUUUUCCUGUUGACCGAGCACUGAUUGGAUGAUGAAAUGAGCUUACAAUAGAUAUGAGUGCAUGGGAUAACUGGCAAUCUUGACUAAAUCUCAACCGUUCAUGAUUCAAUGGCCAUGAUUGUGCCACGUGGCAAUGGUUGGUGAAGCAAGUUGGAGGAUCCGAAUCUUUGUAUUCGGGUCGACCCGAUCCACCCAUUAACCCGCCAAAUCUCAACCGUUCUUUGGGCAAAUCGGACGAGUCAAAUGAUGCCAUGUGUGAUGUUGACUUUUGAAGUUUGACCAGCCAUUGGAUCUUGAUCUAAGGGUUGUGAGGAGCACAUGCAUGAAGCCUAUGAUGGACCGCAAAGCACUGGAUUAUGAAUUUAUUUUUCUAUAAAUAGGGCCUCAUUUUUAUGUUUUAAUCAUCUCUCUACAACUCUCUUCUUCUCAAAUUCUCUCAAUCUCCUUGUAAUCUUGAUUUCCAGGUGUGUUUUUAAUAUUUUGUAUAAUUAUUUUCAUUAAUAAAAUUAGUUUUAUUUCCAAUUUUAGUUGUUUUUAUUUCUUUUAAUUAUAAGUAAUUCAAUUUUACUACUUCUUUUUAUUUUAAUUAUGCUUAACUAAAUAAUAUUAGUUAGGGGAAGGUGAAACUCUUAAGAAAUAAAUAUGAUUUAAUCAAAUUCUAUGUUUAAUUUUAUAAAUUAAAUUAUUUUCUAUUUAAUUUUAUACAUGUUUUAUAUUUUGAAAUUUUGAUUUAUUGUAGACAAACAAAUGAAUUUGGCACAAUAAAUUCUUAAGAUCUUAAUAUAAGGCAUGGUGAAAUGGUAUUUUGACUUAUUGUAGACAAAUUAAAUUUUGGCACAAUAAAUACUUAAUCCAUCAUAAAAUUAAAGGGAAAAUAAUAAUAAUUUGUAUAAUUAAUCUUUUGAGUAAUAAAUCUAAAAAAAAUUGGCAAAAAGAAUUUAUUAAGUUUUAUUUAUUUCUAAGAGUGGAUCCAUAACCCUAACUAGUUCAAUUCCAUAGUUUCAUUUAAAUUAAGUUGUUUAUAUUCAAGUUUUAAUUUCAAUUUUUAUAAAAUAAAAUAAACUAAUUAAAUAUUUUCUCUGUGGAUCGACCUCGGACUCACCGAGUUAUAAUACAACAAGACACUCUUAUACUUGGGAGUUAAAAUUUACUUUUAAGUUGUGUCAUGCAACAAUGGAAUUGAAUUACCUUAUUUAACUUAGAAGCUAUUGAUUGAUUACAGCAUAGAUAUAAUGUAUGAUAUCUUAAAAUUAAACAUCAAUUAACUUCGAAAUUAUAUUGUAGUUCAAAUAAACUCUAUAAUAUUUAUGAUCACAUUCUAUCUUAUACACAAACUUGAAACUUAUGUUAUUGGUUAAGUCUCAACUAUUUUAAUCAUUAUCAUUGAAUCAAUUUAGAAAUUGAUUAUCGAACUAGCUGGUAUUUUAUAGUUAAAUAUUUAAAGAAAUAAUGUCUAUGAUUGAUCAUAAUUAUUGUUGAAUCAAUUUGGAGACUAGCUAAUUUUCAAAUUAAUGUAAUUAUCUAGUGGUCAAUUUUAAUAAAUAGAGUCUAAUAGUUUUCAUAAUUGUAUUAUACUCAUAAUUGUGGAGCAUGGAACGUAUACUUCAUACUUAAAACUUAUUGCAUAUAUUAAAAAAAAUAGAUGAUUAGUAAUUAACAUUUAAUUAUAGUUGAAAUAUUAAUUAUUAAAUUAGUCUAAUUGUCUAAGAACAGUCAUACAAUUAAUUUCAAUAGAUAACAAGAACUAUUGCAAUAAUUUAUUUAUAUUUUAAAACAUAUCUCAACUAUGAAUUAUUAAAACUAAUAUAGCUUCAUAGUUUUUAGGCCAAUAUCUAUUUUCAUCUUUUGUUUAUCUUAUUAAUUUAAAUUUAAAAUCUAUGUUAAAGAUGUUCUAUCAAUCAAUUUAGGCUAUAGAUUAAUUAAACAAUCUAGUAAUCACAUAAUAGGUAUUACAUAUAAUUGUUCAAUUAUAAUAAACUUUAAAUUUGCAUUAAUGAGAUAAGAAGUUUUGUUUUGCAAUUAAUCGAAUCGUAUGCUAAUAAUUUUCAAUAUUUAUUAUUAUUUCAAUAUUUAUUAGUAUGAAAUAGCUAACUUAGGAUAAAUAAAUUGAUUGAUUGAUUUUUUUCUUAAAUUUUAAUAUCUUGUAUUAUCUCUAUUAACUAUUUGGUCCACUUAAUUACUAUAAUGCCACCUAACUAAAGUUUUUAGUGCAAGUGUAUGUGUACCUAUUCUCCACUCUCUCUAACAAAUAUCUCAAUUAGCCACCGAAUCAAAUCUAAUAAUAGAAUAAAUAAAUAAAAGCCACCGAUAUUAAGCGCAACAGAUGAAUUCAUGUCCUCUUCUUUUGUAUAUUCUCUCCAAAGCUUUCAACUCUAUUUUGGGGUCAUUUUCUUAAUUUUUUUUAAUUAAACUAUAUAGAAACUGGGGAGAUGUUUUCAGAUAUUUAUUAAUUUUUAUCCUUCACCUUUAAUUUCUUAAGUUUGACAUCAGUUAUUAAGCGCAACGGAUGAAUUCAUCUCCUCUUCUUUUGUAUAUUCUCUCCAAAGCUUUCAACUCUAUUUUGGGGUCUUUUUCUUAAUUUUUUAAAAUUAAACUAUAUAGAAACUGGGGAGAUGUUUUCAGAUAUUUAUUAAUUUUUAUCCUUCACCUUUAAUUUCUUAAGUUUGACAUCAGUUAUUGUUGGCCUCACUCUCACAUGGUUGGUUUGAAGCUUUUCUAUCAUGUAGUUCGGUGAAAAUUAUUUUAUUAAUCGUGACUUGCAGGUAAGAAUUAUUAUUAUUAUUUUGUGUUAUGUUUUUAAUUUAUUAGAUUUUAAUUCACAAUUUAUUUGAUAACAAGUGAAAGAGAUGUUAAUUAGGAUAGAUUCAUUUUCUUGUUUAGUAUAUAGGAUUUUCUACUUUAAUUUAAUUGUAUCUUAAUUUUUUUUUUUAUUGUUAUCAAGGGAAUUAAGAGCCUAGGAAGAAAAAUUAUGAUAUUCAACUUUCUUAAGGAUUCAGUUGCUCAAUCCACAUUGAUUCUAUCUUUUAUCAACAGCAAAAUAUCAUUGCAAGAGUGCCAUGUAGCCUUUGGUGUAUUUUAUUUAAUUUAAAUAUUUGUCAUGGAUUCAAUGAUUAAUACGUAUUUAUUUUAUCUUUUAGUAACAUUAAGUUAUUGUAAUAGCAUCAUGUAGCUUUAAGUCAUUGUAAUGGUGUCGUGUAGCACUUGUACUUUGUUUGAGUUGCACAUGUAUUUGUUGAAAUUAUUUAGCACUUUGCCAUUUCAUUGGCCUUUUGCCAUUUCUCAUAAAGCCUCCUCUGAUUUCUAUGAGCAUCAUCCGUUGGAACUGGAGGGCAUGGCUGGGUUAAGACAUAUUUAUAAUUUUCAGCAGUCAGGACAAUGAAUAGAUUUCUUUUCCAAUUUAUAUAGUUCUCUCCAGUGAGUUUGUUUUGACUCAGAAUAAUAGUAAGUGGGCUCAUGGAAGACAUUUUCUGAAAAAUAAAACAUCCAUGCAUAAAUAAUUUGAAAUAAUAUUCACAAUAAAUGAAAAAAAUGCAAAAAACCAUAAAUGCAUUUUAAUUUAUUGUAACGAUAAUCUAGUACCGCUUUGACAAGCUAUCCGUUGGGGAAGUCAUGUCUACACUUACUAGACCCAAUUAUCCAUUGGAUUAUUUACUUUCAUGUAAAGACAUGAUAAAUAAAUGUCGUUAUCCUUUUGGACCUAAAUUUGUUAACAGAGCUUCGUUGGGAAGGUUAAUAACAAAUUUUAGUUGAGUGUAUAACCAUUGUUUCAAUCUAGAUAUUUUUCAUAUCAUUAGUCACCGUUGGGGUGAACAAUCGAUUAAAAAAUAUUUCAAUUUUAUCUUUGAAGAAGUUCAUUAAAUAAAAUAUCUAAUAUAUAUACCCUCCGAAGGGAGCAUCACCGUAUCAUGAAGUCGAGGUAUAUAUAUAAUUUUAUUAUUGAACUAACAAUGGAGCCCGUGGGAAAAAUUAUCUUGAAUUUUCCCUCUCCCGCUCAAUAUUUUAAAAUUGGUUUUUCCUUUUUAAAACAUACAUAUUGUUAAUUGCAUGCUUACUAUAAUAUUUUCUAGAUGAUAUCAAAUAUUAUUAAGCACGUGCAAAUUUCAAACAAUAUAAUGAGAUUCAUUAUUAAUGAAUUACAUGUAUCAUUAUGCAUAGAGUGGCACUACCUAUCUAUAUGACAUGUUAUCAUGGCAUGUAAUCAUCCAAAACAUAACAUAUAGAAAAACAAUUAAAUAAUCUUAAUUCAUGGCUUUCCUAAUAAUGAAAAAUACAUUAACCCUAAGCCUAAUCUUCAUUGAGCUUCUUGUCAAUGUCCAUCUUCCAUAAAUUUGUCUUUGUUAAUGGACUAGGGAAAAUUGGGCUUUAAAAUUUAUAAUUGGUCCAAUUUUAAUUUUUAAAAGAAAUAAAUAAAUAAUUAAAAAAAAUUAUUAAAAUAAAACUUUUGGAGCAAAAAUAAAUUUAAUGUGUUCAAUUUUAUCUAUGUAUUUUAAUCCAUUAAGCCCAAUUGAAAUUGGGCCUAAAACUAGGAUUUACUUAAACCCAAAACUGUUUUUGGAUUUAAACGCAAAAAUUAAAAAUAUUUCUGCCCAAAAAGAAAAACUAUGGAGCCAUAGGGACCUCAAUGAUAGAAACCAUUGAAACCCUAAAUCCAUCUUUUCCUCUUUCCUUUCUUCCCCAGCCGCCACCAGCAGACUGUUCAGAGACGCCGACCAUCUCCGACGCCGAAACACUCGCCGCCACGUCGCCGGAAACGCACCAAACUCGCGCGGGCAGCAAGCUGCGCGUGCAGCGCGCGCUGCUGGCCAUUGCUCGCCGCAAGCGCUGCUUUGCAGCGCGCAGCACAGCUGAUGGCUGGCAGCGUGCGCUGCUGGCAGCGUGUGCUGCGAGCCGCGCGCUUGCUGGCAGCAUGUGCUGCUGGCCGAGCGCUGCUUGCUGCUGGUUGCCGCUGUCAAAAAUUCCGGCCUCCGUCACUCCGAUCUUGAAAAUCCGAGAUUAAUUUACAAAUAUCCUAGGCCAAUAUUGGCUUACAAAAAUUCUAUAAUAGUAAAAUAAAUCAAGAGAGAAAUAUAGUGAUAAAAAAUUACCCCUCUUGUUACAGAUCCAAGCGAAAAAUACAACAGAAAAUCUAACAAUAAAUUAAGACAAACCAUAACAUGAUUUAUUCAUAUAUUAAUAAAUAAUAUAUAUCUGAAUAAAAUGUGUCACUUUAAUACAUAAAUUUCAAGAUUAAUUUCAUACGAAAUUCUUAUAUAUUAAUAUGAGAUGGCUCUGAUACCAAUUGUUGGGGAAAAAUCAGGUUUUUAAAUUUUUUAUAAAACCUUUUGAAGAUCGCUAUCAUAUAAUAUAUAAGAAUUUGUAUUCUAGAAAUCGUACCUUGAAAAUCUGAUUUGGCUUUUUCCGUUGAAGUGAUUUAGGCUCCUAGAUCACGAUCCGCCACCACCACUCCUGUUAGAUCACGAUCCUGCACCACCACGCUUGUUAGAUCACGAACUGUCACCAAUGAUCUUCCAGGUUAUGACUUAGGUUCGAUCUGCACUUAACGUGUGGGCGCCUUUAUCACUACCAAAGCAACUAGCACGAGAAAAUUUUUCUCUCAACAAUAGAGAGAAAAAUCUUUUUCUCUGAUUUGUAUAAAGUGGCUUCUGUCUUUUUCUUUAGAGAAAAUAAGCCUUAUAUAUCUCCCUUUAGUGAAAACCCUAGGCUCCAAAUAAUGCCCUAAAUAAAACUCACGUUACUUUUCAUUUAAUAGGGGACCCACUAUGUAAAAUAACAUAAGGCCCCUUACACAUAAGCUAAUUAAAUGGAGCCUCCCACUAAAUGAUAUAUUUAGGCUUUUGACCCAAAUAGCUAGUUAUCUUGCUUAUUAGUCCAGUAGUGGUGCAGUCAAUUAAAUGAGCUAACCCGGGGAUCAUUUGGGAACAUACAAUAGUGGCUACAAUAAUUAGACAUGUAAUUAAACUAGCCCAAUUAUUUAAUUCCAAAUCUACUCCACUAAAAGAUUGGAACUGACUUCCAUAAUUGUAUGCUCGAAUAAUAAUUCGUCUCAAGCCACAUUGAUUUCUUUACUGCACAAUCCUUUGUACCACAUCGUUAAUUAAAUUGAUAUCUCAACUGUCCAAUCAAUUUAAUAACAUCUUAUUCCUUGAUCCUUACUGGUUUUCUCUAAUGAUCAUUUUCAACAUACUAAAUAUGUUGACACACUCUGGCCAGAGAAUUCUAUGAUCAAGUGCCGAAAACCCAUCAAGAGAUGUGUUGUACAAAUUCUAUAUUGUUAAUCUAUAACUCCAAUACUCAUAAAUGCUCCCACUAAGAUACCGGGUAAUCUUGACCACAAGUAUGUGUCAUGCCCAUUGGUAACUCAAAUGGAAUAACAAUUACAAUCAUGAAAUCAUAAUUAACUCAAGAUUAAGAUUACAGUAAAAUCAAUGCCUAUGAGAUUUAAUAAGUCUGACAGUUAUUACAAAGUUAAUUAAAUCUCAUAUUUGAUCCUGUUCAAUGUAGUCGUACUACAUCAAUAAAUUCAUACAUGAUUAAGACAAAUCAUUCAAUGAAUUUAUUACAGUCUAUACCUAAAUAAAGUGCCCAACUUUAUUUAUCAACUGCGAACUAAAUUUAUUUAAUCAUAAGAUAACUUGUAUUUAUGUCUUCUGUGAAUCCACAUGGUGAUCACAUAAAUACAUAUAAUAUGAUUAAAUGGACUUUAAUAUAAAUAUUAAUGCAAUUAAGAUAUUUGAAUAAAAUACCUCAUUUAUUUUAUUAAUCAGAAAAAUUGUUUAUUACAAUUAAAUAAACACAUAUACUUUUAAAGAGUAUAUUUUCCCAACAAUGCAAAUCCACCAGGUGUUGAGUUUCUACCAUCAUUCACUCUUGAGCUUGAUGUUGUUUCCAAGUUCUUGCAACGCUUCUGCUUGGCACAGAGAAGUAAAUUUUGUAAGUAAGUACACUCAAUCAAAUACUUCAUACUUAACAUCGAUUGCAUAUAUUAAAAAAAAAUUAGAUGAUUAGUAAUUAACAUUUAAUUAUAGUUGAAAUAUUGUUUAUUAAAUUAGUCUAAUUGUCUAAGAACGGUCAUACAAUUAAUUUCAACAUAUAAAAAAACUAUUGCAAUAAUUUAUUUAUAUUUUGAAACAUAGCUCAACUAUGAAUUAUUAAAACUAAUAUAGCUUCACAGUUUUUGCAUCAAUAUCUCUUUUCAUCUUUCGCUUAUCUUACCAAUUUAAAUUUAAAAUCUAUGUUAAAGAUGUUCUGUCAAUCAAUUUAGGCUAGAGAUUAAUUAAACAAUCUAGUAAGCACAUAAUAGGUAUUAUUAUUAAUUGUUCAAUUAUAAUAAACUUUCAAAUUGCAUUAAUGUGAUAAGAAGUUAUGUUUUGCAAUUAAUCGAAUCAUAUGCUAAUAAUUUGCAAUAUUUAUCAGUAUGAAAUAACUAACUUAGAAUAAAUUAAUUAAUUGAUUGCUUUUUUCUUAAAUUUGAAUAUCUUGUAUUAUCUCUAGUAACUGUUUGGUCCACUUAAUUACUAUAAUCCCACCUAACUAAAGUUUUUUGUGCAAAUGUAUAUUUACCGUAACCCACGUUCUCCAUUCUCUCUAACAAAUCUCUCAAUUAGCCACCGAAUCAUAUCCAUUAACAGAAUAAAAAUAAAAGCCACCGAUAUUAAGCACAAUGGAUGAAUUCAUCUCUACUUCUUUUGUAUAUUCUCUCUAAAGCUUCAAACUCUAUUUUAGGGUUAUUUUCUUAAUUCUUUUGAAUAAAGCUAUAUAGAAUCUGGGGAGAUUUUUUCAAAUAUUUAUUACCUUUUGUCCUUCACCUUUAAUUUCUUAAGUUUGACAUCAGUUUUGUUGGCCUCACCCUUGGCUGAAAGCUUUUUCCGUCAUGUAGAUCGGUGAAAAUGAUUUGAUUAAUUGUGGCUCGGAGGUAAGAAUAAUUGAUGGUUGUCGAAGCCAGCAAAAAUAAAUACCUACUCUAAAUAAAUUGUGUAUAGUGAUUGAGCAGGGUCGUGUCCACAGAGAUCGGUAAUAGUUAAAUCUUUUUUAAAAUGUAAAUUGCAAAAUGGGGGGAUUGUUGACAAUAACAAAAAUCAAAUUAAAAUAACAAGAAUGCAAAUUAAAAUUAGGAAAAGCUUUGGUUGAAGGAAUUUACUCAGCUUGAAUAGAUCAUUACUACUUAUGAAUAGACCGGUUAUAACUACUGAGACCCUUUAAUAGCCAAUCUCUCCUUAACUAGUCGAUAACCAAGGUACAACUAUUGGUUAUUUCCCUAAUCAAUAGAUAACCCUAGAUACGAUCAUAGGAUUUAAUCAAUUGACAGCCUGAAAAAUCAAAGAGACGCAAAUCCUAAUCAACAAACGCAUACGAUGGUUCAUUUAAAUUAGAUUGUUUAUUCUCAUAACACAACGCACUGCUAUGCUAUUUGUCACAAACAUUAAAAUCUUACGAUGAAUCCUUUAAUUGACAAUAGAUUAAGUUGAUAAUUAAAUAGUGGCCAAUUAUCUAAUUAACAAACAUAAUCAUGACAAUAAUUUAGAGAAUAAACAAAUACCCAAAAAGCAAUAAAACAAUUAAAGCAUAAGAAAGAUCUCACAGUAAUGAUGAAUCAAAACUUCAUUAAUCUUCAACCAGAAUAAUAGGUUUAGUUCUUCACAGAGAGAAGAGAAAAAUUUAGAUCUAUGGUUUUCUUUUUUACAAUAGAUUCCCCCCUUCAAUUCUCUCUCCCCUCUUCUCUUCUAGAGUUCUUUUUAAAUAAAUUACUAAUAUCUAAAAUAUUAUCUAAAUAUUAAAUUCGGAAUUACAAAAAUAACAAAAAAGACAAAACACGUUAAACUAAUAACUGCAGAUCCGUAGUUGACAAUACGCGUCCACGCCUUAUCAACAAAGUUCUUCUGAAGCUCAUAAUUUCUCCAGGAAAAACAAUCAUCCUAAAAAAUCAUCUUGUAGCUCAAUUUUAGCACCAAUCAAUAUAAUUGCACCUACAAAAAUAAAACACAAGUAAAUCACUAUUAUUAAGUGCAAAACAUCGAUAUUAAAGAAAGUAAACAAUGCAAAACUAGAGCAUAAAUUGCACUCUAACAAUAAUUAUUUUUUUUUGUGUUCAUGUUUUUAAUUUAUUGGAUUUAGUUCACAAUUUAUUUUAUAACAACUGAAAUAGAUGUUAAUUAGGAUAGAUUCAUUUUCUUGUUUAGUAUAUAGAAUUUUCUACUUUAAUUUAAUUGUAUCUUAAUUUUUUUUUAUAUAUAUUGUUAUGCAGUGAAUCAAGAGACCUAGGAAGAAAAAAUUAUGGUAUUCAACUUUCAUAAGGAUUCAAUUGCUCAGUCCACAUUAAUUCUAUCUUUUGUCAACACCAAAAUAUCAUUGGAAAGAGUGCCGCGUAGCUUUUGGUGUAUUAUCUUUUAUUUAAGUAUUUGUCAAGGAUUCAAUGACUAAUACAUAUUUAUUUUAUCUUUUAGCAACAUUAAGUCAUUGUAGUAGCAUCAUGCGGCUUUAAAGUUGAGAAAUUAAGAAAAAUCAUUGAAAAUAUAGAAAAAUCGGGUAAAAAAUGAAGUACAGAACAAGUUAGACAAGCAGUGGGACAGGUGCCUGUCUCACAUAAACCCACUGAUUUUAUGGAGUAUAUGAUUUUAGAUUUGAUUUGUCUUGUCGUAAGCUUCGAAAUGGUAUAAUUAUUGUAAUAUUUUGGCUUACUACUCAGAACCCUAAUACAUGCAAUCUCUCAAAUUACUAGAACAAGAGCUUUUAUUAUUUAAGCUCUACAAAACUCUCUGCUUUGCAGGAAAUGCUUCUCACAAAAUUGGAUGCAGAAAUGAGGAGGAGGAACCUCUUUUUAUACCAAAACUUGGCUAUUGUUCAUGCUUUAUUUAAUUUUUUUUUCUUCUUCUUUUUCGGUCCAGCAUCCAUUUUUUCUUCCUCUUUCUUCUUUCUCUUCUUCCUCUUUUGUCUUCUUUCUUCUUUUCUUUUGUUCCGGUCAAAGAAGCAACCAAUGCAUUCUUCUUCAAAAUGAGUGGGCCCACCUUCUAGAAGGGUGGUGCCCACAUGCCAUUUUCAUCAUUAAAUAGAUGAGGGUUGGAAUAUAAUCUUUUCAAUGUGAAUCAUGAAGGAUCUAUUCAAAAUAAAAGUGAUAAAGAUUAAGGCUCCGUUUGGUAUAACUUAUUAAAUAGAGCUUAUAACAGUAGAGCUUAUACCAAUAGUGCUUUUGGACAAAAAAUCAUUGGGUGUUUGGUUGUCAAUAAAAAAAUACUUUUGAACCAUUAAACUGUGUGAUAUUUUUUAUAUUAUAUAUUUUUUAGAAAAGCUCUCUAACCUCUACUUUCAAAAGCUCAAACUUGAGUGAAGGUAGUCUUCUCCCUUACCCAUGAGUGAGGAGUAGACAUCCCUCGAAUAUUUGUGAAGGUUAAAAUCUGGGCAGAGCUCCAUUAGCAUUGAUGUAAGUUGGUUCCAGUAAUUGUCUGAUUUGUAAAUAUCAGUUAUAGUCUCAUGUAAUAUGAGUUGUAAUCUGAGCAAUAGUCUCAUGUAAUCAAAAAAAAAAAAAAAGCUCAAAUUUUGGGCUUUUGCUAGUAGAGGUAAAUUAGCUUAUUUAAGCUAAAAAAAACUCUAUUAAAAAAAUAACCAAACACCAUAAAAAAUUUUAAAAAGUGCUUAUGCGAUUAAAUAAGCACUUAUGGCUCUUAAAUAAGCCAUACCAAACAGGCACUAAGAAAGAACUUAAGAAGCUAAGAGCUUUUAGAAGUCUUUGAAGAAAUAAUAUCAAUUUGAAAGGAAAAGAAUUUAAAAUGAAGAAGAAAAAGAUAAUUGAUAAGAAGUAAGACUAACUGUACAUCUGAUUGAGGAACAGGCUUGUUAAUUCAAACUAUUAUAACCAAUUGGGAAUUGAAUUAAGUUAACAGUUAACUCGUAAUUGAAUGUCUAAACUAACAAUGUAUACAAUUACAGCUGAGACUAUAAAAUUGCAAAAAUACUGCUGAUUGUGAAUCAAUUUGAACAUGCCAAUCCUUAGGAAUUCCUUUCAGUAUCAUGGGAUUUAGAUCUCAAUUACCUUUUUUAUUUGAGUACGAUGACAUCCCGAACUAUAAAAAAUACCCACUUGUCCAAACGUGCCUAUGUCCACUUUAUCAUUUAUAUAUGAAAUGUUCUAAUUAAAUGGAGCAAGUCCACAUAACAAUCAUUUUCAAUUACCCAGCAUUUGGAAUACAGAUGCUUUGUUUCUUCGUUUUUUUAAUUUUUUGUUCUUUUUUAUUUACUUGAUACAACUAAUAAGUAAACUCAUAGCAUUUUCUAUCACCUCUUUUUUAGUUGGGAGUAUUAGUAAAUCAACUCUGUAAUGCUCUGCCUCUUUACCAUAAAAGCUGCAUUUUAAUGGCAUCAGCUUACAAUUAUGUGUACUAAGUAAAACAAUUCUUUAUUGUGACAUCUUCAUCCUCCAGAAAAUACAUAAAUAAAAAACCACACCAUCGUUGUUGUGAUUUCAUAACAGCAUCAUCCAUCACUUUCCUACAAGCUUUAGAAGGCCGGAGGCUGAAGCACAAUCAAUUGAGUUGUUAUUGCAUUUCUCACAGCAAGAGUGCGGCGAUUCAAUUGACUUUUUGGCACUUUUGAUGGACGGAGUUAAAUGGUGGGUUUCGGCUUGCGGUUACUUGUGUUUGUUCAAUUUUGAUAAAGGAAAUUUUAUUUUUGUUAAAAUCCAUGAAUAUUAAUUACUACCUUGUUCACUGUUCAGUAAAAAUAAAACAACAGUUUUUUUUUUAAUUUAACAAUAUUGUGUUAGAAUAUACUUCCCAGGUAAGGUUGAUAGAAAAAACCAAAUUUCAAUCAGUAUUGGGAUUCUGUCCCAAAACAAGCACUUACUGAUUACAACUUUUACUAACUUAUUUUUCCACCACACAAUUUACUCAACUUUUAUUUAUACCACACAAUUUAACUUAUUUUAACUAUCACUAACUUAAGUUACUUGGCUAGGGCAAAAUUAUGUUGCAACUGUGGUAUGAUACCACAGUUGCAAUCAGUCAUUAAAUCCACAGUUGUACAAUUGUAUUUGUUGGACCCAAUGAUUAAAAGUAACUGUGGUAUCAUACACAGUUGCAAUAUAAUUGGACCUACUUUGCUAACAUAUUAUAGAAACCAACAUCCCAGAUUUUUCUUAAGAUAUUUCUACAGAUAUUUUAACAUUUUAGAUUAUAAAUUACUUUUCAACACUUAAUUUAAUCACUAAUUGUUGACGAAGACGAAGCCAACAAAUUUGUUUCGUUGUGCUAAUCGGACAAGCGAUAAGGACUUCACAAGAGUACAAAACAGAGCCUCGAUCUAAUAAUAUUACUGAACAUAGCAUUUUUGUUUCCUUAUUAAUGGAUUUGUUUCCUUAUUAAUGGAGAGAGGCAGUUCUGUUUUUGCAGUGAUUAAGCGCAUAGAAGAUAUUAAUGGCUUUACUUAUCAUCAUCAACUUCCUUUUGUGUCUCCCCUUCUUCCUCUUCUUCUUUGCUUUGCAAAGGCUCAUAACCUCAAGAAAUAAUACUAAAUUACCACCCGGCCCCUGGGGCCUUCCCUUAAUCGGUAACUUACACCAGUUUGAUGUCUCAAAGCCUCAAGUGUCAUUUUGGGAGCUGUCACGGAAAUAUGGCCCCCUCAUGUCCUUGCGUCUUGGUUUUGUGCCAUCCCUAGUAGUUUCCUCAGCAAAACUGGCUAAAGAGAUAUUAAAAACCCAUGACCUUCAAUUUUGUAGCAGGCCAGCCUUGGUAGGACAACAAAAGUUAUCUUACAAUGGUCUUGAUUUGGCGUUUUCACCCUAUGAUGAAUAUUGGAGAGAGAUAAGAAAAAUUUGUGUCAUUCAUCUCUUUAACUCUAAUAGGGUACAAAAUUUUCGACCCAUUAGAGAAGAUGAAGUUUCAAGAAUGAUUGAAAAGAUUUCAAAAUCAGUUGCUGCUUCUAAUCCCGUAAACUUAAGUGAGGUAAUGAUGUCUCUUACCAGCACCAUUAUUUGUAGAAUUGGUUUUGGCAAGAGGUACGAUGAAGAUAAAGCAACAAGUGGAAGAAGUAGAUUCCAUGCCAUGCUUAAUGAAACUCAAGCCUUGUUUGUAAGCUUUUUUGUUACAGAUUAUUUUCCUUUCAUGGGCUGGAUUGAUAAGCUCACAGGAAUGAUGCAACGCCUGCAAAAUAACUUCCAAGAAUUCGAUAGAUUCUACCAGGAACUCAUCAACGAGCAUUUGGAUCCAAACAGAACUAAAUCAGAAUUGCCGCAACCGGAGGAUAUAAUUGAUAUUUUACUUCAAAUACGAAAAGAUCGUGGAUUUAAAGUUGACUUGACUUUGGAUCACAUCAAAGCAGUGCUCAUGGUGAAUAAUUUUAUAAAUAGUUAUAUGUAGACUCGUGCUUAGGCGCAGACUCAAAAUUUUGCGCAGAUACCCAAUUUUACAGUCUUGUAAAAUGUUUUAUAAUGCUGUAAAGUGCCCUUUGACGUCCACCUGAGCAUGAUUAAUUUAAUAUAAUUUUAUUUGCUUUUAAGUAAUUUAAUAUGUAUAUAUGUAUGUUGUUUGUUUUGCAGAACGUAUUCGUUGCUGGAACAGACACGAGAGCAGCAACUGUGGUUUGGGCCAUGACUUACCUAAUGAAGAAUCCUAGAGCAAUGAAAAAAGUUCAACAGGAAAUCAGAUCGUUGAUUGGGGGUAACAAAGGCUUUGUAAAUGAAGAUGAUGUUCAAGAACUACAUUAUCUUAAAGCGGUAGUGAAGGAGACAAUGAGAUUGCAAC
rnacentral:lncRNA from 1 species